ACGGGUGAGUAAUGUCUGGGAAACUGCCUGAUGGAGGGGGAUAACUACUGGAAACGGUAGCUAAUACCGCAUGACCUCGCAAGAGCAAAGUGGGGGACCUUCGGGCCUCACGCCAUCGGAUGUGCCCAGAUGGGAUUAGCUAGUAGGUGAGGUAAUGGCUCACCUAGGCGACGAUCCCUAGCUGGUCUGAGAGGAUGACCAGCCACACUGGAACUGAGACACGGUCCAGACUCCUACGGGAGGCAGCAGUGGGGAAUAUUGCACAAUGGGCGCAAGCCUGAUGCAGCCAAGCCGCGUGUGUGAAGAAGGCCUUAGGGUUGUAAAGCACUUUCAGCGAGGAGGAAGGGUUCAGUGUUAAUAGCACUGUGCAUUGACGUUACUCGCAGAAGAAGCACCGGCUAACUCCGUGCCAGCAGCCGCGGUAAUACGGAGGGUGCAAGCGUUAAUCGGAAUUACUGGGCGUAAAGCGCACGCAGGCGGUUUGUUAAGUCAGAUGUGAAAUCCCCGAGCUUAACUUGGGAACUGCAUUUGAAACUGGCAAGCUAGAGUCUUGUAGAGGGGGGUAGAAUUCCAGG
rnacentral:rRNA from 1 species